GGAUAGAGCCCCAGAGGCAAAAAGCCUGUGAGAGUGGGCUAUUAAAGACCCACGCUCUUGUCUAUGCUAACAUUCUUCAGUGGUGGCAAGUGCCCUGGGCAAAGUUCUGACCUUGGAACCCUAUUUUUCCAGGCUUUCCGAAGGUACGCAACCUCUGAAGCAACAGAGAAGAGUUUCUACAAACGGUAUCCUCAGGACAGACAAGAUUAUAUUGCAGAAAUUGGAUUCUUAAAUUUAGAGACACCAUGUGACUUCAAAAGAUGAACGGAUCAGAUUUGUCCUCUUCAGUUGGAAUGCUACUUUUUUAAUUAAUGGCUAAAACAGUAGAAAACUAGUACCUGCUUUUCCUUUUUUUUGGCUAAACAACUCCCAGGUAAGAG
rnacentral:lncRNA from 1 species